ACUAGAGCUGCAACAUAUGGGAACAUACGGACUGCCUGUGUGACUAAUAGCAUAUGGCAGAAGUGAGAGUACAUCACUUGGGUCAUUUACUCUGUGGGAAGAGAGCUGCCACGGCACGAGCAGCCCCUUGGAGAGGCCUACACAGUGAGGAACUGAGGCUUCCUCCUGACAGCCCUGUGAGUGCGCCAUUUUGAAGGUAGAGCAUCCGGCCCAGGCAGGCCUUGAGCUGACUGCAGCCCCUGCCAAAAUCUGAACUGCAGCUUGGCCAGACAUCCUGGCCAGAACCACCCAGUUAAAAUGCCCCUGAUAAGACUCAAACACUAUGUCGGAUAAUAAUGUUUACUGCUUUAAGCCACCAACCAUGCAACUAAAGAUAAUUAAUAAAAGAGGACAUAAUAAUUUGUAUAAAAUAAUUAUGUCUUG
rnacentral:lncRNA from 10 species